rnacentral:rRNA from 1 species
UACAGAGGGUGCGAGCGUUAAUCGGAAUUACUGGGCGUAAAGCGCACGUAGGCGGCUUGGUAUGUCGGGUGUGAAAUCCCCGGGCUCAACCUGGGAACUGCAUCCGAAACUGCCUUGCUCGAGUAUGGGAGAGGGAAGUGGAAUUUCCGGUGUAGCGGUGAAAUGCGUAGAUAUCGGAAGGAACAUCAGUGGCGAAGGCGACUUCCUGGACCAAUGCUGACGCUCAGGUGCGAAAGCGUGGGGAGCAAACAGG